UGUGUACUCCCUCGGUCCGAAAAUACUUGUCCGAGAAAUAGAUGUAUCUAGAUGUAUUUUAGUUCUAGAUACAUCCAUUUAUAUCCAUUUCUACAACAAGUAUUUCCGGACGGAGGGAGUACAUG
rfam:Triticum aestivum genome assembly, contig: Triticum_aestivum_CS42_TGACv1_scaffold_224189_3B